AUACGUAGGGUGCGAGCGUUGUCCGGAAUUACUGGGCGUAAAGAGCUCGUAGGUGGUUUGUCGCGUCGUCUGUGACAUUCCGGGGCUUAACUCCGGGCGUGCAGGCGAUACGGGCAUAACUUGAGUACUGUAGGGGAGACUGGAAUUCCUGGUGUAGCGGUGAAAUGCGCAGAUAUCAGGAGGAACACCGGUGGCGAAGGCGAGUCUCUGGGCAGUAACAGACGCUGAGAAGCAAAAGCAUUGGUGGCGAGAAGGUUUAGAGACCCAGGUAGUCCCUGCCGUAAACGGUGGGCGCUAGGUGUAGGGGUCUUCCACGACUUCUAUGCCGUAGCUAACGCCUUAAGCGCCCCGCCUGGGGAGUACGGCCGCAAGGAUAAAACUCAAAUGAAUUGACGGGG
rnacentral:rRNA from 1 species